rnacentral:rRNA from 1 species
GCCUACGGGGGGCAGCAGUAGGGAAUUUUCGUCAAUGGGCGCAAGCCUGAACGAGCAAUGCCGCGUGAACGAGGAAGGUCUUCGGAUCGUAAAGUUCUGUUGAAGGGGAAAAAGAGCGGAGAGAGGAAAUGGUCUCCGAUUGAUAUUACCCUUCGAGGAAGUCACAGCUAACUACGUGCCAGCAGCCGCGGUAAUACGUAGGUGGCGAGCGUUAUCCGGAAUGAUUGGGCGUAAAGGGUGCGUAGGCGGCCUGCUAAGUCUGGAGUGAAAGGUACCGGCUCAACCGGUACAGGCUCUGGAAACUG